rnacentral:lncRNA from 1 species
UGGUGAUGGCGAUAGAGGCUCCUAACAUCUUCUGUUUUAUGUUGGCUCCAGAGAAAGCUAAUUCUUUGAAGGUGGCCAUGAAUCCGGCUCCAAUCCUAAGUGAUAGAUUUAAGAGAUAACUGAAUAGAAUAAUUUUCAUUUUGAGUAUCAUCUUUGCUCCUCUGAUGCAACAGAUACUGGACAUGAGUGCUCUUAUUCUGUAUUGAAAUUCAUUUCUGCUCUCAUCUGGAAAAAAAAUCCCUUCAAAUACUAAAUGCAUAUGUAGGUUAGGGAAUGAAACAAAAGAGGGUUAUAUGAAAGUCUGUCCUAAAGAGUAAUGGCCCCAAAGCAGAUCAUUUCCCAAAACUGUCACUCUAUCUAUGCUUGUAAGGUUGGUAAGAAAAUGGGUCUAUAAUUUUUAUGUUUCUCUUGGAGGUGAAGUAAAUUAACCUGCUACAUUUGUAUCUGUGGAUUCAUUCAGCGAUAACAUACAUUUUUUUAUUCACCUGGUCAUCUGGGCUAUUGGCUUUUUUUCCCAUAAAUCUCCCUCCAAAUAAAAAUUUACCCCUGCCUGGCUGGUUCAGUUUCUGAAAAAUAUCUGUUUUGAAAAGUUCUCUUCUCUACCUAUCAGAAAUCAGUACUCCAUUUUAUAUUAUUUCUAUUCUUUAGUUUAAGGCAAUCUCUUCUCUAUGCUUGUGACUUAGAUGCUUUCAUAACUGCCCCCCCCCCACCCUUGCCACCGAGGAGUGAAGUGGGGAGUAGGGGGUAUUUGAAAGGUAGAAAAAUGUUUCUAAGCAAGAAAGGAAAGUUUGCAAGCAGUUACAAAGGCCAUAAUUUAGGACCAAGAAGUAAACUUUGUACUUGCUGUCAUUCUAGAUAGUUCCCCAUGGGCCUCGUAUCCCUCAUUGCUCCUUCCCACCUGUAUCCCUGGUGGGAGAUUCUGAUGCCUAAGCAUUUAGUUCAGAGCCCUUUUUGCCAAGACCUAAACCCACAUUGCCUCCUAACAUGUCCCGCAUUGUGGUGCCACAUGACCCACCUGGCCACCGCCCCCCCCCAACUCUUUUGGACUGUCUACAUGACUCCUCUUUCCAGAAAGGGAGUUCAAAGCUGUGACAAAGCAUCUUUUCUAUUUAAUCUUACUCUGAAAACAACCCUAAAGAGUUUACUGUAGGCCAGGAGGCUACUUUCCCAAUGUUCUGUUGUAUGUGUUUUUCCUGUCCCUCCCUUGCUUCCAUUUUGCUGCCAACAAAGAGAGGUGUGACCUACUCAAACCAAGGACAUUGGCUUUGCGUCAAUGUUUUCUCCUAUGUCCAAGGACUGGAGGGUGGGGGCAAAGGGGCAUAGUUGCUCAGCCCAAGACUAUAUUAAUGAGGCACCCCAAGGCUUAUCUGGGGCUAUAGAAGGGGGCGGGUAAUUUAGAUGACACAUUUGGGGAAUUCUCUGGAGCACUUUCCCAAAUGCAGGGCAUUUUACAGGUAGGGGUGCCUCUUGGUGGACCCCUCUCCAUCUGAACAUUCUUGGGAAAUACAGAAAAUCAUUCAUCUAGUGAACUAGGUCUUGUCCUCAAAAUUCUGCUUUCACCUCUGAGCUUACCUCUUCUGGGUGCCUCCCCAAUCCUCCAAGGUCAUAGUGAGAGGAACAGUGAAGAUUCACCCAUUUUCUUUUCUCCUGGGACCUCAAACGAGGCUCUACAUAUUCCACUGAAAUCGCUAAUUUAUUUUUAAAGGGCCAAUCCUUUGAGGGUAGGAACCCAUAUCUUCUCUGACUUUGCCACUGUCCCAGGGGUAGACGGAUCAUGCUGGUGAAGGAGAGGAGUGAGACUCAUGGUCACCCAGGCCACUGAGUACUCUGCCAGGCCGCAGAAUCCCUUGUCUCACUUUCUCUUUAAACUAGAUAGUCUCAAUAAAUUGAUUACAGCCAGCACGAGAACCUUUCUCUGUCUUGAAAAUUCCUACAAGGCCUUUCUAACAGGUUCUUUGAACUCUUCUCUGACUUGUUUUCCUAAGCUCUGGGCUCCCUAGGCUGAGGUAAGUACUCCCACCUCUGUGUUCCCAUGGUGAUGGUCCUUUGAACAAGUGACACUAUUUGAAAAUCGCUUUUCCGUGAGCCCUCCCUGAGCUCCUUGUAUCGAGCUCAGACGCCCACAGAAUGCUUUUCCAAGAUUUAUCUGGCCGGAUCAAUGCCCGGAGGCCAGUGUUGGAAAGCUGCUUUUGAUGCCGAGGCCACGCAGUGGUGACCUGAGGACGCGUGGCUGCGCUCGGACCACCACCACGCGAUGCCCUGAUGGCGGACGAGCCAGGUCAGCCUCUCCCUUCACUUCCCCUCGCUAUGUUACCUGCGUUUUCUAGAGGGUUCUUCCCUUCCGCGCAUCAUCUUCCCUUCCUUUUUAUGAGCUCUCAGGGGCUCUCCAUUCAUUCUCUUCUUUGAGUUGCCACGUCCCUAACACUCCCCCCAGUCCUUAAGUCAUCCCUCGGUUCCUUUCCCACUUUUUUUUCUUCCCCACGACCCCUGGAUCUUUGGUUCCCAGCACUGAUCCCUCUUAGCUAGUGAUUUUACUUCGUGUCUCCGCUCCCUUGCCAACCCUAAGCUCACCGCUCUCCAUUUCUAGGAUUUUCCCUCUUUGCCUCUCGGCUUCCAAGGUCAAGGCAAUACCUGAACAGCCACUUCGCUGCAUGAGCAAGACUGCACCGCUUGCUUCCAGCGGCGGGGGGCAGGGGCAUCUUGCAAAGAUCAAAAAAUCUGCAGCGCCUCCUGUAGGAGCAGCUGCCGGCGUCAGCCCUGAACCCGGGCCGGUGAAGAGCAGAGGCGGGAGAAGGCAAUAAGAGAAAUUCUUCCAAAGAGUCUCUUCAAUCAAUGGGAAUAAUUUUAGUCCAUCAUGCUUAUAAACUGGUUUGCAGGAUAUUUUUCCAAAGAACAAUAGAGAAAAUGAAAUGAACCAUUCAGAACUGUGUCCUGAAGUUUACCAAGAUUUUAGGGCUGGACUGUUUUCAACAGCCAAGACAUGGAAACAACCUAAAUGUCCAUCGACAGAGGAGUGGAUCAAGAAGGUGUGGUAUAUAUACACAAUGGAAUAUUACUCAGCCAUUAAAAGAAACGAAAUACCAGCAUUCUUAGCAACAUGGAUGGACCUAAAAAUUAUCAUGCUAAGUAAGGUCAGCCAUACAAUGAGACACUAACAUCAAAUGCUUUCACUGACAUGUGGAAUCUGAAAAAAGGACAGACAGAACUUCUUUGCAGAACAGAUGCUAACUCACAGAUUUUGAAAACCUAAUGGUCUCCAGAGGAGACAGUUUGGGGGAUGGAGGGAUGUGCUUGGGUUGUGGGAUAGAAAUCCUGUGAAAGUGGAUUGUGAUGAUCAUUAUACAACUACAUAUGUGAUAAAUUCAUUGAGUAAUAAAAACAAACAAAAC